AAGAUUGGAAUCAUACAGAGAUUAGCUUGGCCCCUGCAUAAGAAUGACAUGCAAAUUCAUGAAGUGUUCCAUUAAAAA
rnacentral:snRNA from 1 species